rnacentral:lncRNA from 1 species
UCGUUCGGGAAGGUUGCUUUUGGUAUUUAUUUUGCCUGGUAAUAAAUUUUGUGUCGAAUUGAAUAGUAAGAAAUGAACUGUCCGAGCUUCAGGUUCUUGUUCGAUUCUGUUUGUUUUACGUUUAUAUUCGUGUAUCAGAUAUAUAUUAUCAUAUUAUUAUUUUGGAAGUUACUAUUAUUUAAUGUGUAGAUAACAUAUUAUGAACAAUUUACAACAGCCCCCUACCAAUAACCGACCUAUGAAUACGCCACGAUCAAGGGCAUACUGCGUUUAAGAACGCGUACUUCGUGAAUGCUCGUGGCUCACCAAUGUGCCGCGGCACUCAGUUUGAAAAUCACUGGUCAAUAUAGUACAUACUUCGAAUAGAAAACUCGGAGUAAUCAGCGUUGAGUUUUUCUACUUUUUCCAAAUUCAUGGAGUUAUUAUUCCACGUGACUGUCGAAAACAUUCAACAAAAUUACCUUUCCGAUAGAUCCAUUCGGAACAGAAUAUUGUUUGAACCAAUCGAUACAAGCUGGCAUA